ACCACCUCUGAGCCCCCAGACCAAAUCUCUGUAGCUCGGUCAUCUGCCUUCGAGCCUGUCAGCCGCACCCCUGGAGAGCUGGUUCACCACAGCAACCCGCUCACAGCCUGCGUGCAGAACCAUCUGACCUCAGGGAUGGAGCCUCUUUUGUUCAUAUUCACUUAAGUAUGGCUACUGUGAUGGUGCUCUGUCAAUUAAUGUUUAUAAAAUAAAAUUUGAUCUACCUGUUCGGCCAGUCUCUUCCCAACGAGGAGGGUCCCAGUCAAGUCAGAAACAUUUUUGAAGCAGGUGUACAGGACCAAAGCACAUGAGUUGGCUCUAAUAGCUACAAGCCAUGUGACUUUGCCCUAGCCCUGCGAGGAAGCGACAAGAAACUGAAAAGACCCUAAAGGGGAAUAUUCUUCUAUGAAAGUCAGCAAUUUAUCCAGAGGGACAUUCCCAGCCCACUUUGCCACAGAGAGGUCUGCGUGCGUGGGUGACCUAACCAUCCAUCUCUCGGGGCAGCGGAGGUGGCCCCGGCCCUGGUGCUCCUGACCAAUGUUUGGAGGCCGUCCCUGCACCCGCUCGCAGCCACGGAAGCCAGAAGCCCGCAGCUGGAGCCAGAUAUGCCUUGAUUCCUUGCCCUUCCUCCUUAGAGCUGACUGUCACAUUAAGAGAGUCUCAGCCCAUUGCUGUUUCCCUGUCAUUGAGAAGGCACGAGGUAGGAACAUGUCCUUGCCCUCCAAACAGAAUAUGCACACGCAGAGUUACUGUUCUCUACCGUUCUGUCUUUGGAGACAACUAACGUGAGGUAGACAAACUUAAACGAAGAGAAAAUUAAAUCCAUAAGUCAAAAAUGUGAAGGGAAGCAAGAAAGCAUCCCGGUGACUGGCAUGGGCUCUAGCAACAGGCCGACCUGCCUCUGAAUCACCACUCCACUGCUUCCCAGCUGUGUGAUCCUGGGAGCAAGUUAUUUCACCCCACUAAGCCUCAGUCUCCUCAUCUGUAAAAUGGGGACAAUAAGAGUGCCAUCUCGGCUACCCAGGAGAAUUACAUGAGAGAAUGCAAGUAAAGCCACACCGUGGCACACAGAAAUCAUGGUAGUAGCAAGUAGGAGCUUGUUUUAAGUUAAUAGACAUUUAUUUAGGGCUUGGGGAAGUUCAUCACUGGAGAAAAAAAUACAAAAAUUCACUAACAGAAUUACACAAAUGUCCAGAACCUAACCUCCCCCUUCAUCCAUGCAGGACAAUCCCUAUGUCCGUCUCUGUCUGGAUCUCUGGCCCACUACCCUCUGCAGUGCAAGAAGAACGUGUGCCUUAAAUCAGGAAUGACCAGGUAAGGUGGCGCCCAUUGCCAGCAUUCUCUCCGGGUCCCUUGGGUCCUACUUCUCAGUGUCCAUAGAAGUCAGUCCCCCAGCCGGUUAGGCUGCCGCCAGCCUCUCCACAUGGUGAGCUGUAGCGGUCAGGG